rnacentral:lncRNA from 1 species
AUGUUGGCACCACUAGACAACCGGCCCAGGGAAAUUGCGGCUCUGCCGGCACUAAAGCACCACAUUCCCCUGAAGCCUAUCAGCCGGAGCCCCCUUUGCUCCAGGACCUGGCUGAGGAGAGAAAGGCUGUCCUGGGACAGCCCAUGCACUGGCCCUCUGACCAUUAAAGGGGGUAGUGAGGAGAGUGGGUCCAGCAGUAGUCAGAGUUCCAUCGACCUGGAGGACGAGGAAGAUGAGAGGGAUAUAUGUGGCAGAGCUUCAGGAGAAAGACAUCUGAAGUUUGUUGGAGAGAGAUUGUUGCAGCAUUCCAACGGCGUGAGCUCGACCGAGGCUAAUUUUGUUGAGGAGCAUUUUAAAGUUCAGUCAAGGUUCAGUCAUAUUCCACAGAUCCACAGAUCAGCAGAUGACUUUGAUGGAGAUGCUAUCAAUCACACAACAGAUCUUCUCUGCACAAAAAAAGCUAUAAACUCUCAAUGUGAAGGCAAAGCCAAUAUGAAGUAUACAAAGGAGCCUGUUGAUUGUCAGUCCUUUAUAAAAUGUAACACCGUGCACAAUGAAAUACCUAUCACAUCAAAGUCGAAGGACGAGAAGAAUGAUGUGGGUUGCACCCCAGAGCCUGGAACUGAGAUUAGCCAUGGGGUAACAUUUAAUAUGAAUAAAGACCAUGGUAAUGUUAUUUCAUAUUCUAAAGGGACUUAUAGAAAUGACAUGCAGCAUAUAGAACAGACAGAAAAAACAAUGAAGGAUUCCUCUUAUGAAGAAACCUGGGUAUAUAACCCAAUCCUUCGUAGGGAGGAUGUUAAGUUAACUACUAGCACUACUGAGGAGAAAAUAUUAUUAUUCACUCCAGCUGUAAACCUUCCACAGUCAGAUAUGGAUCCCAAGAGAAAUGAGAGGAUGUUGAAAGCCUUAAAGCCUGUCGGGAACAAGGAGAGGAGAAAUAGCACGAAAUGUGAACUGAGAGCAAAAAUUCAAACGAGCCAGCAGUCCUUCAACGUGCUAGCACACAAAGAGCGAAGCAUCCUAAAUCGGAACAAGUCCAAAAGCAAUCUGAAAUACUCAUCCCUUUCUACACAAGUUAAAGAUAAAACCAGGAAAAGCCCCGAGCUAAUAAUUAGCGGAGAGACAGUCAUAAAAGUGAAGUCAAAGCCAAAAGGUGCUCAUUGUAACACUGGCACCACAUCACCACGGAAAAAGCUUAAUGAUCAGGGCAAAAGAGCAAAUCCUGAAAAGAUGAACAGCAAUAGAGCUCAACAACAUCCACCAGCGAGGGAGCUGAAGAGCAUCCGUAAGUUGAAGAGACCCGGUCUAGCAGGGACACCCAGGUCUAAAUCUGCCGUGGACUUCAUCACCUACAAAGACAUGUUUCAGCAGAUACAGAGUGGGGAUGAAGGACCGGCAAUCUACGAGAUGUUUGCUGGUCCGAUCUAUGAUAACCUUCGAGUUACCAGCUCCUGUGAGAAAGUUAAGGACAGACAAGUGCAGUCUGCUCCGCCUAAGAAGACUCAACAGUGCCAUAAAGUCAAACACAGACCAUUGAAACAAGCACAAAAGAGAAGUCCAGGGGAGAGCAUCGUGAUUUCAGCUAAAAGCAAACCUAAACAUGAGUCCUCUAGGGGGAAACCUCCCCUCACACCUGUACCAAGGAAAGGCACACAAAAAAUGAUGGAUACGCCAAAUUCAGAUAGGUGCAAAGCAGCUGAGCCCUCUAAGGAUGUUGAUAUUUGUCAGAGUAGCGCUCAAGAAACUGUUUUAUCUACCAUAGAGGAGGCUCUUUCUAGAUAUGGGUCUGAAACAAUUAAAUCUGAUGACAAAACAUUGACUCACCCCCAAAUGCGAGAAAAAGGAAAUCCAAACCGACCACUUCCUGAACACGUGUUAUCUCAAAGCCCCCAACAGUCAAUGAUCAAAACCUGGACGUCUUCCAGCAGCAGCAGCAGCCACACAUUCAUGUCACCAGUUUACCAGAAGUUUCUGGAUGAAGUGGGGGACGGGCCGCUUACAGAUGACCUGCUGCAAUGUCUGGCCGAGGAGCUGAUCUCAUUGGACGAGAGGGAUGUAUCCAUAGGACCUGAAGACCUGGAGUCUGAAUUCGAUCCUGUAUCAGGAAGAAAUUCAUUUCCUGAGGUGAACUGUUAUGGUCAAAAGUAA